GCUGGCGUAGCUCAAUUGGCAGAGCACCGGUUUUGUAAACCGGCGGUUAGGGGUUCAACUCCCCUCGCUAGCU
rnacentral:tRNA from 1 species